AGUUCUUAGCUAAUAGGUUCCAAGAUCCUUCCAAAUGGCUCCUCCUCCUCCCGCCAAGUGACACAGAUCGAUUUGACUCCCAUUUCAUUGGCCAAAGAAAGUUCCACAACCAUAUGUUACUCAAGGAGCUACCAUUCUACAAAGUUUAUGGAAGGCUGAGGAAAUGAAAAUAUUUUGGUCAAUGAAUACAGUGAAAGUGAAUUUUGUACAACUUCUGAGAAGGGCUUCAAGAUGUCUUGUAGCUUCUGGGCUUGCAUUCUUGGAACAGUGAGACCACAUGGAGAGAGAGGUCAGACAAGAGUUAGCACCGAUCUCCAGAUGCAUGAGUGAAGCUGUUUUGGACCAUCCAGCCCCAGGAUAAAGCCACUCCAAAUCUGGAAAUGCAGAUGGUUUAUCAUUGAAGACAGUGAUCUUAGCUGAAGACGUACCACGGCAUAUCUGCU
rnacentral:lncRNA from 1 species